rnacentral:rRNA from 1 species
AGGACGAACGCUGGCGGCGUGCUUAACACAUGCAAGUCGAGCGGAAAGGCCCUUCGGGGUACUCGAGCGGCGAACGGGUGAGUAACACGUGAGUAACCUGCCCUUCACUUUGGGAUAACCCUCGGAAACGGGGGCUAAUACCGGAUAUGACUGCCUUGCGCAUGUGGGGUGGUGGAAAGUUUUUCGGUGGGGGAUGGGCUCGCGGCCUAUCAGCUUGUUGGUGGGGUAAUGGCCUACCAAGGCGACGACGGGUAGCCGGCCUGAGAGGGCGACCGGCCACACUGGGACUGAGACACGGCCCAGACUCCUACGGGGGGCAGCAGUGAGGAAUUUUCGUCAAUGGGGGCAACCCUGAACGAGCAACGCCGCGUGCAGGAGAAGGUUUUCGGAUCGUAAACUGCUUUUCUCGGGGAAGAGAACGGACGGUACCCGAGGAAUCAGCCCCGGCUAACUACGCGCCAGCAGCCGC